CAGCAGCCGCCGCGGUAAUACGUAGGUGGCAAGCGUUGUCCGGAAUUAUUGGGCGUAAAGGGCUCGCAGGCGGUUUCUUAAGUCUGAUGUGAAAGCCCCCGGCUCAACCGGGGAGGGUCAUUGGAAACUGGGAAACUUGAGUGCAGAAGAGGAGAGUGGAGUUCCACGUGUAGCGGUAAAAUGCGUAGAGAUGUGGAGGAACACCAGUGGCGAAGGCGACUCUCUGGUCCGUAACUGACGCUGAGGAGCGAAAGCGUGGGGAGCGAACAGGAUUAGAGACCCGAGUAGUCCCUGUCUCUUAUAC
rnacentral:rRNA from 1 species